AUGCCGCGUGAGUGAUGAAGGCCCUAGGGUUGUAAAGCUCUUUCGCCAGGGAUGAUAAUGACAGUACCUGGUAAAGAAACCCCGGCUAACUCCGUGCCAGCAGCCGCGGUAAUACGGAGGGAGUUAGCGUUGUUCGGAAUUACUGGGCGUAAAGCGCACGUAGGCGGAUUAGUCAGUCAGAGGUGAAAUCCCAGGGCUCAACCCUGGAACUGCCUUUGAUACUGCUAGUCUUGAGUUCGAGAGAGGUGAGUGGAAUUCCGAGUGUAGAGGUGAAAUUCGUAGAUAUUCGGAGGAACACCAGUGGCGAAGGCGGCUCACUGGCUCGAUACUGACGCUGAGGUGCGAAAGUGUGGGGAGCAAACAGGAUUAGAUACCCUGGUAGUCCACACCGUAAACGAUGAAUGCCAGACGUCGGGCAGUAUACUGUUCGGUGUCACACCUAACGGAUUAAGCAUUCCGCCUGGGGAGUACGGUCGCAAGAUUAAAACUCAAAGGA
rnacentral:rRNA from 1 species